rfam:Salmo salar isolate Sally breed double haploid chromosome ssa03, whole genome shotgun sequence.
UCCCAUGUGGCUCAGUUGGUAGAGCAUGGUGUUUGCAACACCAGGGUUGUGGGUUCAAUUCCCACGGGGGAC